rnacentral:precursor_RNA from 1 species
GAGUCUUUGUUGGUCUUGGGCCAGCUUCCCUGCCCUGCCUGUUUUCUCCUUUGUGAUUUUAUGAGAACAAAGGAGGAAAUAGGCAGGCCAGGGAAACGAUCUCUCUCCCUCUCUUGUGCCG